rnacentral:misc_RNA from 1 species
UCCUCCAGAGCUUUAGGCAUUUUCAUUUUUUUGCCACCAACAAAAUUGCACAGGUACAGCACCCCCAUAUUUGCAAUAUCCUGCUUCUCCUCCAAAGAACCUAUCUUCCCAUCCAAACCUGAAACUAGACACUGCAAUUGCCACAAUUCUGAGCCAAUUUGUGAUAUAUUUUCAGAAGCAGCAUUAACAUCAUUUUGAAUUGCCUUUGAGAUCUCUUUUUGGCUCUCCAUUUUAUCAUCCAAAAGCUGUAUUCGCUGAGUCAGAUGUACUUUUGCAGCAGAUAGAGCCUCGGUUACUUGCUCCAGAUGCUUCGUCAAGUUUG